rnacentral:rRNA from 1 species
GAGUUUGAUCUUGGCUCAGAGUGAACGCUGGCGGUAGGCCUAACACAUGCAAGUCGAACGGCAGCACAGAGGAGCUUGCUCCUUGGGUGGCGAGUGGCGGACGGGUGAGGAAUACAUCGGAAUCUACUCUGUCGUGGGGGAUAACGUAGGGAAACUUACGCUAAUACCGCAUACGACCUACGGGUGAAAGCAGGGGAUCUUCGGACCUUGCGCGAUUGAAUGAGCCGAUGUCGGAUUAGCUAGUUGGCGGGGUAAAGGCCCACCAGGGCGACGAUCCGUAGCUGGUCUGAGAGGAUGAUCAGCCACACUGGAACUGAGACACGGUCCAGACUCCUACGGGAGGCAGCAGUGGGGAAUAUUGGACAAUGGGCGCAAGCCUGAUCCAGCCAUACCGCGU